CCUGCAGACUGCAGGUAUCAGGAAGUGUUGCUCUGUCUCUUCAUCUUGCUGCUGUUGGCAGAACUGACGCACAAACUCCAUCUGCUACCGAAAGGCCUCAAGAUGCAGCAGAGAGAUCCAGGAGACAUCUAGUUCUUCAGGGCUGAGGGUUCCCCUGUCACAAUGACUGGAGACCUGAAGUUUAGUGAUUCUCCAGGAUCCAUCUGUGACUAGUCUAAAUACAGACAUUCAGACGUCAGUAAUGAAGUAAGAAAGAGUUUCUCUUGUUAA
rnacentral:lncRNA from 1 species